GAGGGUACAGCUCAGUGGUAAAGUGUGUGCCUAGCAUGUACGGGUCCUGGGUUCAAUCAUCAGUACCUUCA
rnacentral:tRNA from 1 species